UAAGGAAUAUUGCUCAAUGGGAGAAAUCCUGAAGCAGCAACGCCGCGUGGAGGAUGAAGGGUCUAUGACUUGUAAACUCCUGUAAAGAAGGAAAAAAUUCCCAUUUGAUGGGAGAUGAUGGUACUUCUGGAGUAAGCACCGGCUAACCCCGUGCCAGCAGCCGCGGUAAUACGGAGGGUGCAAGCGUUAUCCGGAUUCACUGGGUUUAAAGGGUGCGUAGGUGGGUAUGUAAGUCAGUGGUGAAAUCCCCGAGCUUAACUUGGGAACUGCCAUUGAUACUAUAUAUCUUGAAUACCGUAGAGGUAAGCGGAAUAUGUCAUGUAGCGGUGAAAUGCUUAGAUAUGACAUGGAACACCAAUUGCGAAGGCAGCUUACUAUGCGGUGAUUGACACUGAGGCACGAAAGCGUGGGUAGCAAACA
rnacentral:rRNA from 1 species